UCUUCUUUACUUGGACUUGUUGCCGCUUUAGCAUCAUGUUUGACUAUUUUCUUCGCUUCGAUACCUACACAAAUUGUUGCCUCGGUAUCUUAAAAGGGCUGUAAAACACGACUUAGAGCAGAUAAAUAUCUUAAAAGAGGGAAUAGUUCAAUGUACGGGUUCGACGUUCAUGUAAUGACCACACGGCGCCAUUACAAGUGAUUCAAGUCGCGCACGAACUCUGUAAAUGCACUUAUACUAUAGUCACGAAUCAAGACCAAAUUAUGGGUCUCGUGUGUAAUGAAAUAAAAUUUCGUGGGAAUGUGACUUGUUAAAAAUAUUUCAAUAAUGUCACAUGCUGUCGUUCAUGAUGAUAGAAAGCAAACAUACAUCAAAUUAUUUACAGUUUUAUCACGUUGAUAUGUAUUCCUAACCAAAGCUAUCAUGACAACAUAUGUGUUUAACUAAUCUAAAAAAUGUAUUUUAAUUUAGUAAUUUGACCAUGAGAUGACAACAAAAAAUUGUAUGGUGAAGCGCAACGGAUCUGGAAUGGAGAUAGAAGAAUAAUCGGAAUAAAUUCACCGUGAAAAGCCACGUCUUGAUACUUCUUCUUCUUGUUAUAUUCUUCUCUUUUUCUUCGUUACCUUUCAGGAUUCUUCUUCAAUGUAAACCACAAUAAUACACAAUAUAAUCUAUCUUCAG